UACGUAGGGUGCAAGCGUUAAUCGGAAUUACUGGGCGUAAAGCGUGCGCAGGCGGUUAUGUAAGACAGAUGUGAAAUCCCCGGGCUUAACCUGGGAACUGCGCUUGUAACUGGCAAGCUAGAGUGUGGCAGAGGGGGGUGGAAUUCCACGUGUAGCAGUGAAAUGCGUAGAGAUGUGGAGGAACACCGAUGGCGAAGGCAGCCCCCUGGGCUAACACUGACGCUCAUGCACGAAAGCGUGGGGAGCAAACAGG
rnacentral:rRNA from 1 species